rnacentral:rRNA from 1 species
CCAAACACAUGCAAGUCGAGCGGUAGCACAGAGAGCUUGCUCUCGGGUGACGAGCGGCGGACGGGUGAGUAAUGUCUGGGAAACUGCCUGAUGGAGGGGGAUAACUACUGGAAACGGUAGCUAAUACCGCAUAACGUCACAAGACCAAAGUGGGGGACCUUCGGGCCUCAUGCCAUCAGAUGUGCCCAGAUGGGAUUAGCUGGUAUGUGGGGUAAUGGCUCACCUAGGCGACGAUCCCUAGCUGGUCUGAGAGGAUGACCAGCCACACUGGAACUGAUACACGGUCCACACUCCUACGGGAGGCAUCAGUGGGGAAUAUUGCACAAUGGGCGCAAGCCUGAUGCAGCCAUGCCGCGUGUAUGAAGAAGGCCUUCGGGUUGUAAAGUACUUUCAGCGAGGAGGAAGGCGUUAAGGUUAAUAACCUUAGCGAUUGACGUUACUCGCAAAAGAAGCACCGGCUAACUCCGUGCCAGCAGCCGCGGUAAUACGGAGGGUGCAAGCGUUAAUCGGAAUUACUGGGCGUAAAGCGCACGCAGGCGGUCUGUCAAGUCGGAUGUGAAAUCCCCGGGCUCAACCUGGGAACUGCAUUCGAAACUGGCACGCUAGAGUCUUGUAGAGGGGGGUAGAAUUCCAGGUGUAGCGGUGAAAUGCGUAGAGAUCUGGAGGAAUACCGGUGGCGAAGGCGGCCCCCUGUAGAUCGACUGACGCUCACGUGCGAAAGCGUGGGGAUCAAACAGGAGUAGAUAUCUGGUAGUCCAUGCCCCCAAAUCAUGUCGACUUGCAGGUGUGCCCUUGAAGUGUGGCCUCCUGCAGCUAAACCGUUAACUCCACCGUCUCUGGAGGAGUACUGCCCGCAUGGAUAACACGUCAAUUGAAAUGACAGGUGCCCGCACCAGCCGGGUGGAGCAUGUGGCUUCAGUUCGAUUGCAUCACGAAUAGCCUCACCUACCUCUGACCCUCCAGAUACCUAGGAAUAUGCGUGCGUGCCUUCCGGGAACUACUGAAACCGGUCAUGCAUGCAUGCCUUACGCCUCUCGCUCGCUGGCAAUGAUGGACUAGUCACCCAACGACCGUCAAUCCUUACCUGAUGCUGCGACGCGCUCGGACCUUAGGACUUGCCAGUGAUAAACUCGCAGAAAGAUGUGGAUAGACGGUCACG